rnacentral:rRNA from 1 species
CCUACGGGGGGCAGCAGUGAGGAAUAUUGGUCAAUGGACGAGAGUCUGAACCAGCCAAGUAGCGUGAAGGAUGACUGCCCUAUGGGUUGUAAACUUCUUUUAUAUGGGAAUAAAACGUUCCACGUGUGGGAUUUUGUAUGUACCAUAUGAAUAAGGAUCGGCUAACUCCGUGCCAGCAGCCGCGGUAAUACGGAGGAUCCGAGCGUUAUCCGGAUUUAUUGGGUGUAAAGGGAGCGUAGGUGGAUUGUAAAGUCAGUUGUGAAAGUUUGCGGCUCAACCGUAAAAUUGCAGUUGAAACUGGCAGUCUUGAGUACAGUAGGGGUGGGCGGAAUUCGUGGUGUAGCGGUGAAAUGCUUAGAUAUCACGAAGAACUCCGAUUGCGAAGGCAGUUCACUGGACUGCAACUGACACUGAGGCUCGAAAGUGUGGGUAUCAAACAGGAUUAGAUACCCUUGUAGU